UGGGGAAUUUUGGACAAUGGGCGCAAGCCUGAUCCAGCCAUGCCGCGUGCGGGAAGAAGGCCUUCGGGUUGUAAACCGCUUUUGUCAGGGAAGAAAUCUUCUGAGUUAAUACCUCGGGAGGAUGACGGUACCUGAAGAAUAAGCACCGGCUAACUACGUGCCAGCAGCCGCGGUAAUACGUAGGGUGCAAGCGUUAAUCGGAAUUACUGGGCGUAAAGCGUGCGCAGGCGGUUUUGUAAGACAGAGGUGAAAUCCCCGGGCUCAACCUGGGAACUGCCUUUGUGGCUGCAAGGCUUGAGUGCGGCAGAGGGGGGAUGGAAUUCCGCGUGUAGCAGUGAAAUGCGUAGAUAUGCGGAGGAACACCGAUGGCGAAGGCAAUCCCCCUGGGGCCUGCACUGACGCUCAUGCACGAAAGCGUGGGGAGCAAAACAGGAUUAGAUCCCUGGUAGUCCACGCCCCUAAAACGAUGUCAACUGGUUGUUGGGAAGGUUCCUUCUCAGUAACGUAGCUAACGCGUGAAGUUGACCGCCUGGGGAGUACGGCCGCAAGGUUGAAACUUAAAUGAAUUGACGGGGUCAUAGCUGUUUCCUG
rnacentral:rRNA from 1 species